UUCCCGCGGCUAUGCGUGCUGGACGGUGCCUGAACCUGCCUUGUUGGUUCUUGACUGGGGUUAGCUAACUAGAAUUAGAGCCUUCUGGCUAGCCUGUAAUUUAUGGUUGUAAUUACGUUGCGUAACAGCAAAAUGUCUAUGUACUUGUCAUUUGGUUGUAACUAACAUUUGUUUAAAUUGGCUAGCUAAUGUUUUGAAGAGAACAGGCUAGCUCCCUGUAGAAUCUAGACCAGAGUGGAUGCCCAGGUGUGAGGCUGAUGCAGUGCCCAGACGAGAUGAGAGCAAUCUUCUACAGAGUUAAGAUCUGCCAAACACAACUCUGUCUCUGACAGAUUCUCCCUGUGCUGACCACCGAUGGAUGUUACACAUGAGAGCUGCCGUUGAUGGACUCCUGGUCAAGCAACACAGGGAGAAAGACAUCCUGAAGCAGGACUCUCCAAUGCUAUGUUGAACGAGCACCGCAGAUGAAAACAGAUAGCUUCUCUCUACCACACCUUCACCAAGUCAUCCAAUUUUUUGCUUCAUUUUCUAAAAUAAAUACAGAAUUAAUUUUGUUUCUAAUAGUU